GAAAAACAUCCUGAAAUACCUUAUCCCUCCGACGCUGAGGGGAGGGCCAACCCAAUGUCAGGCAGGAGGAGAGAAGCCCAAACCUGACGGGGUCGUCAAGACAACCAUCAAGAAGGACUUCUGAGGCAAGAACCACUUGAAGAGUUUUUGCUACACCGGAGUGAGGAGCCGAGGGGGCAAGGCUAGCAAAUCCUAGGAUUCCAUGUCAAAGUGAAUCCAAAUAAAAUUCACCUAUGACAUCACCAGUUUCCAGAUCAGUGCAGAUGAAGGGGGAAACAAACUGAGGAAGCCACUGUAGACUGAGAUGCAGCCGAAGUGUCCACUAUCAGGCCCCAAACGGAAGAAAACGGACUGAAACAGGAGGGGACAAUCUGAACUUAUCCAAUAAGAAACACUUGUUUUUGUAUUCUGUUGGAAAACAUUUUGCUACAUUUUGAAACAGUGCACACUAAUGAAUACAACCCAGAUGAGGAACCUAUCAGCAGCACCAUUACUCUUAAAGUGAGCCAACAUCGGAGUUUGUCUGGUUAGAAAACCUGUCAAAUUAAUAAUGUGCAUUCCCUCCUAAACACGACACAGUAAUGUUAUGACUGCAUUACUCUGCACCUCCACCGAUGCGAAUGAACUUCCUUCUCUUUACUAGUGUUCAAUGAAAUCCGAAUUGAAGAAUUAAAAUUGUUUUUCAAUAAUUAAUUUUCUAUUAUUGAAUUGUCAAUAAUAGAAAUGGAAUUGACCCCAAUUCUGGUAUUUCCUAUACACAUGCUAUGUAUGUGUGGUCAUUUCAGAUGGCUACACGUGGGUAUUGCAUUUAUUGUUUCUUUGUAAUUAGAAUUCAGAAAACGUUUAUUACAUGUUUUGUAUUUUUGCUCUUUAAGCCGUUUACCAUAAAUCAUGUCAUGUCAG
ensembl:lncRNA